rnacentral:rRNA from 1 species
GACGAACGCUGGCGGCGUGCUUAACACAUGCAAGUCGAACGGUAAGGCCCUGCCUUUGUGGGCCGCUCGAGUGGCGAACGGGUGAGUAACACGUGGGUAACCUGCCCUUUACUUUGGGAUAACUUCAGGAAACUGGGGCUAAUACCGGAUAGGAGCCCCUGCUGCAUGGUGGGGGUUGGAAAGGUUCGGCGGUUGGGGAUGGACUCGCGGCUUAUCAGCUUGUUGGCGGGGUAGUGGUUUACCAAGGCUUUGACGGGUAGCCGGCCUGAGAGGGUGACCGGCCACAUUGGGCCUGAGAUACGACCCAGACUCCUACGGGAGGCAGCGGUGGGAGUUGUUGCACAAUGGGCGGAAGCCUGAUGCAGCGACGUCGCGUGCGGGAUGACGGCCUUCGGGUUGUAAACCGCUUUCGCCUGUGACGAGGCGUGAGUGACGGUAAUGGAUAAAGAAGCAACGGCUAACUACGUG